UGACGGGAGCCACUAGGAAUCUCGCGUUUGCCUCCACCGAGACGGAGGCCGUCUUCGUCCUCCUCGCUCACCUUCCAGGUAUGGCACAUCCGAUCAUAUGGGUUAUUUUUGGUUAUCGCAGAUAUCUUAGCGACGAUGUGAUGCAGCAGGAUUGGUGCGGGAGAAGAUCGAGGUGUCGGUGAAUGAAGAGGGAACGGAGAUUAGCAUCAGCGGAGGAGGGGACAAAUCCGCCGUUGAGACGGUGGUUGGAAGACGACUGCGGUUGAGGAAUGAGUUCGAGAUUAACCCGUUUCGGAAGGUGUUUCGCAUCCCGAAUGGCGUCGCGUUGGAUCAGAUCGAUGCUGGAUUUUACGAGGAAGGAGACAUUCUGGUGAUUUUGAUGCCCAAAUCUGUUAGAGGUAAUGCUGCUGGAAUCGCAAUCCGAGAAGUGCAAGGAGGAGAAGCUCCAAGGGAACAGAAGCUUGAAGGAGACGAAGUGAUUUCUAUGGACCGACCUCAUGGUCAUGCAGAAACAAACGAAGCGAGAGCCGCGAUUGAUGAUGCAAAACCACCAAAGGCGGAAGAAGAAGAAGAAACCAAACAAGGAAAAGAAGAGGAUCUAAUCAGAAGAGAAGGGGCCGAGGAGAAAUUGGACCAGAAUGGAGCAGAAAGCUCAGGAACGGACCGUAAUGGAGAUCGAGAACCAAAGCACAUGGAAGCAGAGAUCAAAACACCUAAAGAAAAAGACUUAGAAGAAGAAGAGCGAAGAAAGGUACCUGAUCAACCUCAAAAGCCCUCGAUCGAGAUGGAAGCACCAGAUCUGCAUGGAGAGCCCCCUCCUUCCGCAGCACCGGCACCAAUCAACGGAACGGGACAAGAAGAUACAAUCGAGAAGACGAGCGGUCCAGAUCGAGAAGAAGAUGAAGACGAAGUGCCCGACUCGCUUGAAGCGCCUGACGCGGAUCGAGAUCUCCACCAACCCAAGGGACAGCAGACGUAUCCAGAUCACCAAACGGAACAAGAAGACAAGGCGCAUGAACCGGAGCGACAAGAAGACAGAGCAGUACCUGAAUCGUUCGAAGCACCUCAAUCGGAAGGAGAUCUCCACCAACCCGAGGAACAGCAGACGGAUCCACAUCACCAAACUGAACAAGAAGACCAAGCGCAUGAAUUGGAGCAACAAGAGGACAGAGCAGUACCUGAACCGGAUGGAGAAGAUAUCCACCACCCCGAAGACAAGACAAAACCCGGCGAGAUUUCAGAUCAAAUUCCCCGUCGAUCCGGCGACAAAGCAGAGGAAGCAGCUGACGAAGUCCCGCAGACGGAUAAGCCGAUCGAAGCCCCA
rnacentral:lncRNA from 1 species